CAAAGCAGUAAUGGAACAAACAAACUCGUAAGUGCAGGCGCUUUGCUGGUGCCCUGGUGGAAUCAUGAGGUAGACAGGCACAACAAACUGGGAAAUCUCAGCUGGAGGCCCCAUAUGGUAUCUGAGGACUUUCUGAGCCUUUCAUUUUGUGGAAAGGAGGGAAUAUGUUUGUGCAUUCCGAAAGAGUUACCUAAUGGUCACAACGACGUUAGGUCACAUGCAGAGGAGGGGAAUAAAUGGCUAGGAAUGGGGUUAAAGAUAUCCUCAGAGAACUUGGCUCUGCAGUACUCCAUCCUCUCCUCAAUCAGAUAAUCAGUUUUAUAAAAACUUCUGCACAGUUCAGUACUUUGCAGGGACUUCCAUGCCUACAAACGAAACCUGGUGGUUAUCUACAAUGCUACCACAUCCCCUCAGAGAGACAACCAAGCCCUGUAGUAAACCUGCUUUAGGUACCCUAGAACAGUUACGUCUUCUCUGCUUAGGCAAUGAGUGUGUUCAUUUGGCAUGGAGAAGGAGCCAUUAUGAUGGGCACCCUUGUGUGAUUAAAUACUUCCAGUGGGUCUCUAUUGAAGAAAAAAAGAAAAAAA
rnacentral:lncRNA from 1 species